rnacentral:SRP_RNA from 1 species
GGGAAGGCUAGGCUGGGAGGUUAGCGCUCUCCUGUCACCUGAAAUACGCUUCAGCAGGGGCCGAAGCUUUGCAAGCGGCAUUGAGCGUUGCUGUUGGUCUUAACCCGUACGGCGAAGCUCUGUCCUUUGGGAUUAUUUUCCUAGUGAACCCUGUCAGGCCAGGAAUGGAGCAGCAGUAAGCUUGGGACAUGAUGCUCAAGGGGUAGCGGAGUGGAGGAAAGGCUAAGGCAGCCAUCAGCGAUGUUGAUUGUCCAUUGCGGGGUCUGCCUUCCC